rnacentral:rRNA from 1 species
UAGGAUGAACGCUGGCGGCGUGCCUAACACAUGCAAGUCGAACGGGACUAUCAAGUGAUGUUUCGGACUGAACUUUUAGUUAGUGGCGGACGGGUGAGUAACGCGUGGACAACCUGCCUCUCACUGGGGGAUAGCAGCUGGAAACGGCUGGUAAUACCGCAUGCGUUCAAUGUGCCGCAUGACACAUUGAAGAAAGAUUUAUCGGUGAGAGAUGGGUCCGCGUCUGAUUAGCCAGUUGGCGGGGUAACGGCCCACCAAAGCGACGAUCAGUAGCCGGCCUGAGAGGGCGGACGGCCACAUUGGGACUGAGACACGGCCCAGACUCCUACGGGAGGCAGCAGUGGGGGAUAUUGCACAAUGGGCGCAAGCCUGAUGCAGCGAACCGCCGCGUGAGUGAAGAAGUAUUUCGGUAUGUAAAGCUCUAUCAGCAGGGAAGAAAGGCCCGCAAGGGAGAUGACGGUACCUGACUAAGAAGCCCCGGCUAACUACGUGCCAGCCGCCGC